GACGAACGCUGGCGGCGUGCUUAACACUUGCAAGUCGAACGGAAAGGCCCUGCUUGCAGGGUGCUCGAGUGGCGAACGGGUGAGUAACACGUGGGUGAUCUGCCCCUUACUUUGGGAUAAGCCUGGGAAACUGGGUCUAAUACUGGAUAGGACCAUGCUGUAGGUGGUGUGGUGGAAAGAUUAGUUUCGGUAAGGGAUGAGCUCGCGGCCUAUCAGCUUGUUGGUGGGGUAAUGGCCUACCAAGGCGUCGACGGGUAGCCGGCCUGAGAGGGUGGACGGCCACAUUGGGACUGAGAGACGGCCCAGACUCCUACGGGAGGCAGCAGUGGGGAAUAUUGCACAAUGGGCGCAAGCCUGAUGCAGCGACGCCGCGUGGGGGAUGACGGCCUUCGGGUUGUAAACUCCUUUCAGCCAUGACGAAGCCCUUGUGGUGACGGUAGUGGUAGAAGAAGCACCGGCUAACUACGUG
rnacentral:rRNA from 1 species